ensembl:snRNA U7 U7 small nuclear RNA
UAGUGUUACAGCUUUUUUAGAAUUUGACUAGCAGGCUUUCUGGUUUUUGCUGGAAAGCCUCC